CCCCGCGUGAGAAAUUGAAAUAAAACGAAACAAACGAAGGAAAUAUAGUUCAAAGAUGUAAAUAUCUUCUUGAUUAACAACUUAUUUUUUUUGCUUUUACUUUAAACUGUUUC
rnacentral:ribozyme from 1 species